AAAUGUUCAUUUCUGGAUUUUCUAUUUAAUAUCUUCAGACCAUGGUUCAUAUGGAUAACUGGAACCAUAAAAAGUAAAGUUGCAGUAAGGGAAGAUACUAUAGAUGCUUGGUCCAUGACUUUCCAAUCUAUGGAAGAACAGUGACUGUUUUAAGCAUAAACAAUAUGGCCAGGCAGGAUCUAUUCAUAUUUAUGUCCAAAAAGUUAUAGAUUAAUAACAAAGCUAUCAAUUAUGCUAACAAAAAUAAUUCCAUCCAAAGGAGUACAUAAAAUGGCAAUGGUAAUUGAGUAGGUAAAACAAUUAUUCUAGAUUUGCCACUGAAACAGGGUGCUCUGGCAAGUUGAGAUAGUUACACUACAAGACUUAGAAGCUCUAGUUUCCAACCCCAGCUUUGCCAAAAACUGACCCCUUAUGGCCUAGAUUAGUUACAUCAUUUUCCUAUCUCACUACACCAAGAUUAAUGAAUUUGAAGAAAGGGAGAGAGAAGUCAAAGACUGAGUUCUUCCAGGGUGGUAGUACCUUGGAGGUUAACCCAAGUCCAGUAUUGUAUAUCUUUGCAGUAAGAGAAUGCCCUAAUAUAAUCAGAAUUAUCAGCCACAGAGAAAAAUGGUAAACAUUUUUACAUUAGAUUGGUGACAAAAUCAGAAUGCCAAUAUAUGAAGGUAGAAUGAAUGAGAAACAUAAGUGUCAAAUACUCAGAUUGUCUUCCCUUUUAGGAAGAUCUAUGUGGAAAAUCAAAAUUUGAAAGCAGGGAGGCUAGAUGAAGAGAGUUAAUGAGACAACUCUAAAACCAUGCCAGCGAGCUACAAUAAUUCUCUGCACUGAUUUCCUUCAAAGAGAAGCAGUCUGGUGGGACAGAAAUGGUAUGGGCCAGCUGGAAUGGAGCAGAAAAGAUUAACAAGCCACCCACUAAUGACCAGGACUGUCACAGUAUCUAUGAACCAAGAGCCUUCUGGGAAUCUUCGCCAUGUGUGUCAUGGGAAAAUGUACCAUUCCAG